rnacentral:tRNA from 1 species
GUUCAUAUAGUUUUAAGUCAAAC